rnacentral:lncRNA from 1 species
AAGCGAACGGGCUGAGAAGGAAGCUGAAGAGAUGGAGUGGAGGGAACUGACUUCUUCCUCCUCAUGGUCCACUUGAAAUUCCAGGAAAAGGAACAGAUGUGCAAGGAAUCGCAGCCUGGAGAAACAUAGUGUAUUUGGAGACUUGCAUGUAAAUGGAUAAUAUAAACAGAAUGUCAAUCAACCUUCAUGUUGUGUCUACGCUCAAUCAUCCCUGAUGACCCUACGCUGACUACAGAUGCAGAAUUCAGCAAAAACCAAUGAAAAC